rnacentral:sRNA from 1 species
AGGCGAAGUAACGCCACCGGCCGCAACCGGACGCGGCCAUUGAACGGCGGAUUACCUCGUCAGCUCCGCCGUUUUUUU